AGGGCUUUAAAGAGGUCUUCUUAGGAGGAAUUGAAGAACCUGAACCAGCUUUACUUCUUCCACUACUUAAAGAACCAGUAAGACGCCCCCUUCCAGUGGAGGGGGCAGCUUGUUGCAGCCCAUUACCACCCUUUGUUCCGGGAGGUGGAGGUGGCGGUGGACCUGGCCCACCACUACGACCUGGAGGUGGAGGUGGAGGUGGUCCACCACUGCGACCUGGUGGUGGAGGUGGAGGUGGUCCUGGUGGACCUGUGCGACCUGGAGGUGGGGGUGGAGGUGGACCUGGUGGACCUGCACCAUUGCGGCCUGGAGGUGGAGGUGGAGGUGGAGGUGCACCAGGUGGCUUGGUUACUGAAGAAACUGUUCCUUGACGUGGAGCUCCAGGAGGGGGAGGAGGGAGCGGCGGUGGUGGUGGUCCAGGGGUAGCACUGGCUUUAGUAGCCACGCCAAAUGGAGGUGGAGGUGGGGGUGGGGGUGGUGAACUCUUGGAAAAACUAGAAGUAGAAGCGAUGGGAGGUGGUGGUGGUGGUGGAGCACCUCUUGAAGAAACAGGUGGAGGUGGAGGCGGAGGUGGUGGUGGUGGUGGAGCACCUCUUGAAGAAACAGGUGGAGGUGGAGGCGGAGGUGGUGGUGGUGGUGGAGCACCUCUUGAAGAAACAGGUGGAGGUGGAGGCGGAGGUGGUGGUGGUGGUGGAGCACCUCUUGAAGAAACAGGUGGAGGUGGAGGCGGAGGUGGUGGUGGUGGUGGAGCACCUCUUGAAGAAACAGGUGGAGGUGGAGGCGGAGGUGGUGGUGGUGGAGGUGGCAGUGGUGGAAGGGUCUUUGUGGAGAUAGGAGGCAAAGUGGGAGGUGGUGCUAUAGCAUCAUCUAAACUAUCAACAGGAACAUGUUUUGGUGAUGCUAAAGAACCAUUCACAUUACUUAAAUCAGCACUUGUAGGGGUGGAGGUGGAAUCACCUGCAUCUGAUAUCUUAUGCUGCAGCUGCAAUGGAUCCUCCAAUGAUUUCCGAUCAGGUGUGCCAUCCGAAAUAGAAUCUCUAUAUGAAGCUUCAUCAUAAAAGCUCACUGUAGAUGCAGGUGUACACGUCAUAUCAUUACUCCUUUCAGAUUCCAAAAAAUCCAAACUAUCAGCAACACUCGAUGCAUUAUUUUCAUCCUCAGAGUCAAAAGGUGAAGAAUAAGUACUCAGUUUAUUCCUCAACAUUGACAACUCUUUCGCAUCAUUUAAAACAGAUAACUGUUUCACUAACCAUAAAGCAGUAUCAUCACCACCAUCACCCCAUUCAAUCCCAUUAAAAAGUUCUUGAACUUUGUUAAAAGCUUCUAUAGGCAAUCCACCUUUUUCUUCUCCAUUCAACAUUGUGGUUGGUGUUUUUGGUGAACAAAUGUUCUCAACAUCUCCAAAAAGAACCUCAGCUCUGAACCCUUUUGGAAACCGUGCCUUUGAGUCCCAUAAAGUGUCUAAAUUGUCACAAUUCAGCAUCAAAAUAUUGGAUCUGAUAAAAGCAGUGUUGAACAUUAUGCGAAACAUCAUAACUUCUCUUUCAGAAUCAAUGUCUAAAUGGAGACACUCUAAUACAACAUCACCUUCCACCAAACACUGAAUGUCAAUCUUUAUAACAUCGCUUUGUUUCUGCAUCAUAUCAUGCCUAUUUGUCAGCAAAUCCCAUAAAAAAAAAACUUAAAAUAGAAAAAAGAUGGAAAUAGAUUGCCUAAAGUAUGCAAAUUUAAAAUUUUUGGCAAUCAAAGUAUUGAUAUAAAUUUAGAAACAUGUAAGCUACUUGAAAGACAUCCUACAUAUGUGUAAGUAGAAUUUUCAAGAAGUGUCAAAAUGAAAACUGGUAUAAAAGGUGUUUUGAGCCUUUAUACACAUUUGAUUUGCUAAUGGAAUAUGUUUGGAUUAAAUAACAAUUUAUGGAAACAUUUUACAUCUAAAUGUUACCUGGCGAUAAUGCCUCAGAUUUCUACCUCUCCUGGGAGUGGAAUAUAACAUUUGUGUCAAAAGCCCAUCUUUACUUAAAAGAUUUCUCCCAUAGAUUCGAAUCACUGGUCUGCAUCCAUUUUUAUUGUCAAAAUUUGGAAUAGCACGCAAAAUGAGGCAAUCCAAAGACAAAGCUCUUUCAGGUGGGGGCCACUCCUCAGAUAAAUUUCUCCUUGAUAUGUAUUGAAGGUACCGAAGCUGUGAAGGGUACGGAUUUAAAGGUGACAAAAGUUGAGACAACCCUUUUGGGGCCUCACGAUAAACAAUUUCAAGAGUCUUCCGUUCACCAGUUUGUAGUUUUUUAUAAAUCAAAAUGCUGGCUAAAAGGAAGGCUAAAAGAGGCCAACCACCUCUCUCACAAUGAAGCAAAAUGACAUUUUGAUUGUUGCCAAGAGUAAGCCAACUCUCACAGAGACGAAGAAAAUGAUGGACAAGAGAUAAUGGAAGAAGGGGACAGCCUUCAUACUGUUUUGGGUAGUCCAUGACUGUGAUGUCAUACUCGCAUAAAAUUUCUGAGAAUUGGCUCCUUCUUUCACCUUCUCGGAAAUUGAAUGCAAGAAAGGAGGAUUCUGGGAAUUCUUCGUGUAAUUCGUUACUAAUUUCAUGCAAAUAAAGUUGGUAAAGUCCCUCUGGUAGAACUUCAGUUGAAAAGCAAGAAUCAAAAACUGCAAAUAAAAACAAAAACAAGAAUAUAGAGAGGUUAUUGUAAAGAAGAAAAAAAAACUAAUGAAAUGAAUUCUAGAUAGGAUUGCAAUUGUGGUUAAAUACCAUAUAUUCUAUCCACAAGCUCAAGCAAGCCAUCAGGUGGUCUUCUAUAGAAGAAUCUACUGAGAAGAGACAUGUCUCGUCAAAUGAAUAAACUGCUAUGUCGGAAUGAGCAAUAAUCUGAAAGAAAAAAGAGAUAAGUGUUAAUCAAGGCUACCAAUUUAUCUGUAGUGACCUAAUUCCCUUCAGUAACUCAACACAUGAAAACCACAGAUAAUUGAUAACAUAAGUGUUAAUCAAGGCUAAUACAGAACUUGUAACCAUAUCCCACGAAAAGCAUCUGUGAUGUUAUGUUUAGGGUCUCGAAUUUCAUGGCUACAUCAUUAAUAGGGACCAUUUAGCCUCGCAGUAACAGAUCACAGAUGUGACUAUUUUAUUAGAUUCUGAUACUGAAAUUGGGAAGGGAACCAAAUCAGUUCAGAACUUGUAACUAAAUGAGCUUCAAUUCCAUUCCAUACCUUGAAUUCCAACUCUCAAACGCUAAAUGGAAAGGGUUUUCACAAAGUAAAAGAAUAAAAAAGCGAACAGAUUACUGGGGAUUUAACAUACAAAGAUUCAAAACUAACCUCGUGGCUCCACUAAAGCUGAUUGAACGACACAGAUGAAUGAAAGAUGCUGCACCGGUCGCUCCUAGGGUGUCGCCGAUGGUGUUUCCGAUUGAAGGAUAGGGGUGUUUGUGUGAAAUCUGCACGGUGUUUGUGUGGUGCAUCUGAUGCGUUAAUUUGAAUUGAGGCUUUUCCCCUCUUUUCCAGAUUUUGAAAUCCUCUUGUUUAGUUUGGACUAUGCGACUUUGUCUGUUGUUUACAAAGAAAGAAGAGCCCUUUUCCACGUUUGGAUACUUUAUUGCAGGGUAAAUUGCUAUGUUUUAACAAAAUGAUAUAUUAGCUCAAACAAAAUAUUUUGAAUUUUUCUAUUUGGUCCUAAAAACUUUUUUUUAAUGUUUUAUGGGACAUAAAAUAAAUAUUCAACUGUUUUUUAUUUGUGACAGCUAUAUGAUAUAACAGAUUUUAUAAGUUACGUCAUUGUAUGUUUUUGGGAAAAUGAUUCUUCAGGAUAACUAAUUGUUGCGUUUGUUUUUAUUUUGUUCUUUCUUUUGUACUCGAUAUACCAUCGAACUUGUUGUUUGUAUUCACCAUAACCCUUUUGACCGGCUUUUGACCUAUGAUAGUCGGUCAAAAGGUUAUUGUGAACACAAACAACAAGUUCAAUGAUAUAUUGAAUACAAAAAAAAAAAAAAAAAAAAAAAAAAAAGGAAAGGGACCAAAUGAGAACAAACUCAAUAGUUGGUUACCCUUCUGAUGCAUUUUCCCCGAAAAGUUAAAUGAAAUUAAAGUUGCAAAAUUAUCAAAGAUUGCAACCUUCUUUGGCCAUAACGUAUAUAAAGAGCGUUUUAGAGGGGUAACUUCGUUAAAACAUUGUCUAUGUUAUGUUUACUAUGGUUAGUUGUCAACACCUCUCUGCAAAAGGAUAUGAAUGUGUAUGAGAGGUAUAUUUAUCAGCAUAAACGUUUACCUCAAGGUAUAUUAUGGUAAAGGCCGACAGAAGCAACCUUUCUUAGCGCGCUUUUCAAGCGCUUAGCUUCUGCUAUAAAAAGGCGGCAAGGCCAUAAAGUAAGUGAAGUUGCAAGCCUAAGCCAAGAAGGUACGAACGAAGUGACGGGCCCUUUUAGAGAGAGGGGGUGGCUUUCUUGUGGUAGUCAUUGCGAACAUCUCUCCUCUUCUCUUAGCGUGCACAGUUUGUUUACGCCUUAGGCACAUCUAUCUUUCUUAGUUUCACGCUGGCCUAAUGAAUUGAAUAUGAAUAAAAGUCAGUCUUUUAGUAAGCGUAUAUAAGCAGUUGUUUAGUGUAUAAGCAAUUCUUUAGUGGUCGCACCGGUACGAUGGAGGUUGGUUGAAGAUGGUGUUACGCGGCGUUCAGAACCAAUCUUGAAGUGAAUGAAUUAGAAAGAACGAAGAAGUAAGGUAAUCUAUUNACAAAACCUUAACUUCGCGGACUUUCCGAGGUAUAACCUUCGCCACGACAUUAGUGGCUUAGCUCUUCGCGCUUCCCGCAGGCUUUUUUUAUAGGGAGAGAGUCAGGGGGGCGGUACGGAAGAUUGGUCCGCUCCGCAAAGCUUAGCUUUUCGGUUCCCUCCCCCUAUGCGGUCGGCCUUAUUACCAGUCUGCCUCCUUUCUAUUGAUGGAAUAUAUCAAUACCCGAGCUCCUGCUUUCCUUGUGUUCUUCACCGGCGCUCGCCGGAUGUAUCACUCAUCCC
rnacentral:lncRNA from 1 species